rnacentral:rRNA from 1 species
GUUUCGGCUAGGGGGUCAUCCCGACUUACCAACCCGAUGCAAACUACGAAUACCGAAGAAUGUUAUCACGGGAGACACACGGCGGGUGCUAACGUCCGUCGUGAAGAGGGAAACAACCCAGACCGCCAGCUAAGGUCCCAAAGUCAUGGUUAAGUGGGAAACGAUGUGGGAAGGCACAGACAGCCAGGAUGUUGGCUUAGAAGCAGCCAUCAUUUAAAGAAAGCGUAAUAGCUCACUGGUCGAGUCGGCCUGCGCGGAAGAUGUAACGGGGCUAAACC